AACUGGUGACAACUGCAGACAAGCCUCUCUAGAUGAUCUCAAUAAGCGGUGGGGCUUUCGGUUUGGAUUAUAAUUAAUGGUUAAAGUUCAAGAAGCUCACCUCUCAGCAUGAUUAGUGAUAAAUUGCUGGAAUUCUACCUGCUUUUGCUGUAAAGAUUGGACAGAUCUCAAGCCGAUGCUGUGAAGUUGUCAUGUUAAACAACAUCGGAGACAAUACAGAGCCCUGAGGGACACCAUACCAGAGUUCAGUUUUUGAAGAACAACAGUCCCUGAGAGACACCAUCUGGAAUCUGCCCAAGAGAUCACCCUCAGAAUUUUGGUCAGGGGCAUUAUAGCAUAAUGAUGUCCUCAGUACUAAAGUACUUUUCAAAGCUGGUGUUCAACCCACAGUAGUUCUGUGGAGGAAUUUAUGACAUUUCCACAUUCAUUGGAUUCUAAGCCCUCUUUAACAUACAUAAAAGCCUUCACCCUGCUGCCACAAUACACCUUUCCUGGUACAGGUGUAAAUAUAAAUAGAACAUUUUGGUUUGCCUAGCAGCGAGUGUCUCUUGAGUGAAACAUCUCCUGAGCUUUUCCAGAUUCCAGUCUGUCCAUUGCCUUGGAAACUCAGGGGGGUGGUUUUGCAUUGCCAUGGAAACAAAUCAAUAUAAAUAUCACUACAUUUUAUUUUUAGGCUAUAUCGUACAAAGGGCAAAACACACUCUUGAUUUGAUACAACAUGAAACAUGGUUUUUCCCCCCUGUAUUAUUUUAAUUAGCAAAAUUUGUAGGUGACACUGACAGUCACUUUCUUUGCAUUGCUGCAGGGGAUUAAGAAGCAAUUGUCACCUCAUGUUGUAAAUCAGCGGAAUUUUUGACAUGGUCAUUUAGCCUUCUUUUUAUGUUUAAGAAAAUAGGCAUAGGGAGUAACACAUAUAUUAAUCUGUAUCAUAUAGAACAUAUAAGACUGGGUAUACCAUUAUCUACCACAUGGAGCCUGUCUCUCUUAUCUUUUGAUCCCAAACAUUUGCAAUUGCAAUCGGUCAAAGAUUGGUUUAAUUUUAUAAUAUAAUUGUAUUCCAUAAGUUUAUCAAAGGAUAUAAGGGAGCAUCCACAUACACGAUUCAUACUGGAUCUCUAUGAGCUAGUUCACACACAGCCCCAGAGAAAACUAUCCAGUUGGUGGGAUAGGGGAGCAAGCCUUGGAUUUUCAUGAUCCUUCCUCUGUGUGAUGAAUUUGAUCACAUGGGUGGAACUUUUCAUACAGGAAGUUAGAGUUGUAGACUAAUGUUCACAUUUUGGGUUCUGUAUGCACAAGAGUAGGUCCCCGACUAACUGGGCAAAGAGGCAUCUUUCAAACUGGUGAUUCUGUCCCUUAUGUUAUGGAAGGUUCAAGCAUCACUAUUUAGCCCCAGCACAGAAUCCUUCCAGUGGCUGUUGCUAGUGUGUUCCUUUUUAGACUGUGAGCCCUUUGGGGACAGGGAUCCAUCUUCUCCUUCUUAUUCCUUUUCUAUGUAAACUACUUUGAAAACAUUUUUUAAAAAGCAGUAUAUAAAGAAUAGAAUUUGCUUAUUGAUUUAAUAUAUUUUAUAGUGGCUGCAACCAGUUCUCACCACUGAAACAUCCAUACAUUUAAAAUCAAACAGUUAAAAACAAAUACACAAAUAAAAUUUAGAAUCAAAUAAAAUUCAAGUGAAAGCCUG